CUUUACUGUAACUUGAAAUUGAAAUUGGACUUUACUUGCGCAGUAUAGGUGGGAGGCAUUGAGCAUCUUCUUGCGGGAAGAUAGGAGCCAUCAGUGAGAUACCACUCUUGUAAUGUUAGAUUUCUAACUUUGGAUCAUGAUCUGGUCAAAGAACAGUUUCAGGCGGGCAGUUUGACUGGGGCGGUCGCCUCCUAAACGGUAACGGAGGCGCACAAAGGUUUCCUCUGAACGGGUAGAAAUCGUAUCUAGAGUGUAAAGGCAUAAGGAAGCUUGACUGUGAGACCUACAAGUCGAGCAGGGACGAAAGUCGGUCUUAGUGAUCUGACGGUGCUGAGUGGAAAGGCCGUCACUCAACGGAUAAAAGUUA
rnacentral:rRNA from 1 species